UACGUAGGGUGCAAGCGUUGUCUGGAAUUAUUGGGCGUAAAGAGCUCGUAGGCGGUUUGUCGCGUCGAAUGUGAAAACCCGGGGCUCAACCCCGGGCCUGCAUUCGAUACGGGCAGACUAGAGUUCGGUAGGGGAGUCUGGAAUUCCUGGUGUAGCGGUGAAAUGCGCAGAUAUCAGGAGGAACACCGGUGGCGAAGGCGGGACUCUGGGCCGAUACUGACGCUGAGGAGCGAAAGCGUGGGGAGCAAACAGG
rnacentral:rRNA from 1 species